rnacentral:rRNA from 1 species
GGGUUGUGAGGUUAAGCGACUAAGCGUACACGGUGGAUGCCCUGGCAGUCAGAGGCGAUGAAGGACGUGCUAAUCUGCGAAAAGCGUCGGUAAGGUGAUAUGAACCGUUAUAACCGGCGAUGUCCGAAUGGGGAAACCCAGUGCAAUUCGUUGCACUAUCGUUAACUGAAUACAUAGGUUAACGAGGCGAACCGGGGGAACUGAAACAUCUAAGUACCCCGAGGAAAAGAAAUCAACCGAGAUUCCCCCAGUAGCGGCGAGCGAACGGGGAGCAGCCCAGAGUCUGAAUCAGCUUGUGUGUUAGUGGAACGGUCUGGAAAGUCCGACGGUACAGGGUGAUAGUCCCGUACACCAAAAUGCACAGGCUGUGAACUCGAAGAGUAGGGCGGGACACGUGGUAUCCUGUCUGAAUAUGGGGGGACCAUCCUCCAAGGCUAAAUACUCCUGACUGACCGAUAGUGAACCAGUACCGUGAGGGAAAGGCGAAAAGAACCCCGGCGAGGGGAGUGAAAAAGAACCUGAAACCGUGUACGUACAAGCAGUGGGAGCACCUUCGGGUGUGACUGCGUACCUUUUGUAUAAUGGGUCAGCGACUUAUAUUCUGUAGCAAGGUUAACCGUAUAGGGGAGCCGCAGGGAAACCGAGUCUUAACUGGGCGUUAAGUUGCAGGGUAUAGACCCGAAACCCGGUGAUCUAGCCAUGGGCAGGUUGAAGGUUGGGUAACACUAACUGGAGGACCGAACCGACUAAUGUUGAAAAAUUAGCGGAUGACUUGUGGCUGGGGGUGAAAGGCCAAUCAAACCGGGAGAUAGCUGGUUCUCCCCGAAAGCUAUUUAGGUAGCGCCUCGUGAAUUCAUCUUCGGGGGUAGAGCACUGUUUCGGCUAGGGGGUCAUCCCGACUUACCAACCCGAUGCAAACUACGAAUACCGAAGAAUGUUAUCACGGGAGACACACGGCGGGUGCUAACGUCCGUCGUGAAGAGGGAAACAACCCAGACCGCCAGCUAAGGUCCCAAAGUCAUGGUUAAGUGGGAAACGAUGUGGGAAGGCACAGACAGCCAGGAUGUUGGCUUAGAAGCAGCCAUCAUUUAAAGAAAGCGUAAUAGCUCACUGGUCGAGUCGGCCUGCGCGGAAGAUGUAACGGGGCUAAACCAUGCACCGAAGCUGCGGCAGCGACACUAUGUGUUGUUGGGUAGGGGAGCGUUCUGUAAGCCUGCGAAGGUGUGCUGUGAGGCAUGCUGGAGGUAUCAGAAGUGCGAAUGCUGACAUAAGUAACGAUAAAGCGGGUGAAAAGCCCGCUCGCCGGAAGACCAAGGGUUCCUGUCCAACGUUAAUCGGGGCAGGGUGAGUCGACCCCUAAGGCGAGGCCGAAAGGCGUAGUCGAUGGGAAACAGGUUAAUAUUCCUGUACUUGGUGUUACUGCGAAGGGGGGACGGAGAAGGCUAUGUUAGCCGGGCGACGGUUGUCCCGGUUUAAGCAUGUAGGCUGGUUAUCCAGGCAAAUCCGGAUAAUCAAGGCUGAGGUGUGAUGACGAGGCACUACGGUGCUGAAGUAACAAAUGCCCUGCUUCCAGGAAAAGCCUCUAAGCAUCAGGUAACAUCAAAUCGUACCCCAAACCGACACAGGUGGUCAGGUAGAGAAUACCAAGGCGCUUGAGAGAACUCGGGUGAAGGAACUAGGCAAAAUGGUGCCGUAACUUCGGGAGAAGGCACGCUGGUGUGUAGGUGAAGUCCCUGCGGAUGGAGCUGAGACCAGUCGAAGAUACCAGCUGGCUGCAACUGUUUAUUAAAAACACAGCACUGUGCAAACACGAAAGUGGACGUAUACGGUGUGACGCCUGCCCGGUGCCGGAAGGUUAAUUGAUGGGGUUAUCCGUAAGGAGAAGCUCUUGAUCGAAGCCCCGGUAAACGGCGGCCGUAACUAUAACGGUCCUAAGGUAGCGAAAUUCCUUGUCGGGUAAGUUCCGACCUGCACGAAUGGCGUAAUGAUGGCCAGGCUGUCUCCACCCGAGACUCAGUGAAAUUGAACUCGCUGUGAAGAUGCAGUGUACCCGCGGCAAGACGGAAAGACCCCGUGAACCUUUACUAUAGCUUGACACUGAACAUUGAGCCUUGAUGUGUAGGAUAGGUGGGAGGCUUUGAAGCGUGGACGCCAGUCUGCGUGGAGCCAACCUUGAAAUACCACCCUUUAAUGUUUGAUGUUCUAACGUUGGCCCCUGACCGGGGUUGCGGACAGUGUCUGGUGGGUAGUUUGACUGGGGCGGUCUCCUCCCAAAGCGUAACGGAGGAGCACGAAGGUUAGCUAAUCCUGGUCGGACAUCAGGAGGUUAGUGCAAUGGCAUAAGCUAGCUUGACUGCGAGCGUGACGGCGCGAGCAGGUGCGAAAGCAGGUCAUAGUGAUCCGGUGGUUCUGAAUGGAAGGGCCAUCGCUCAACGGAUAAAAGGUACUCCGGGGAUAACAGGCUGAUACCGCCCAAGAGUUCAUAUCGACGGCGGUGUUUGGCACCUCGAUGUCGGCUCAUCACAUCCUGGGGCUGAAGUAGGUCCCAAGGGUAUGGCUGUUCGCCAUUUAAAGUGGUACGCGAGCUGGGUUUAGAACGUCGUGAGACAGUUCGGUCCCUAUCUGCCGUGGGCGCUGGAGAAUUGAGGGGGGCUGCUCCUAGUACGAGAGGACCGGAGUGGACGCAUCACUGGUGUUCGGGUUGUCAUGCCAAUGGCACUGCCCGGUAGCUAAAUGCGGAAGAGAUAAGUGCUGAAAGCAUCUAAGCACGAAACUUGCCCCGAGAUGAGUUCUCCCUGAGGCUUUAAGUCUCCUGAAGGAACGUUAAAGACGAUGACGUUGAUAGGCCGGGUGUGUAAGCGCAGCGAUGCGUUGAGCUAACCGGUACUAAUGAACCGUGAGGCUUAACCUUACAACGCCGAAG